rnacentral:rRNA from 1 species
UACGUAGGGGGCAAGCGUUGUCCGGAAUCAUUGGGCGUAAAGAGCGCGUAGGCGGCCCUGUAAGUCCGCUGUGAAAGUCAAGGGCUCAACCCUUGAAUGCCGGUGGAUACUGCAGGGCUAGAGUCCGGAAGAGGCGAGUGGAAUUCAUGGUGUAGCAGUGAAAUGCGUAGAGAUCAUGAGGAAGACCAGUGGCGAAGGCGGGUCUCUGGACAGUUCCUGACACUGAGACACGAAGGCCAGGGGAGCAAACGGG